AGUCUGAUGGAGCAACGCCGCGUGAGUGAAGAAGGGUUUCGGCUCGUAAAACUCUGUUGUUAAAGAAGAACAUAUCUGAGAGUAACUGUUCAGGUAUUGACGGUAUUUAACCAGAAAGCCACGGCUAACUACGUGCCAGCAGCCGCGGUAAUACGUAGGUGGCAAGCGUUGUCCGGAUUUAUUGGGCGUAAAGCGAGCGCAGGCGGUUUUUUAAGUCUGAUGUGAAAGCCUUCGGCUCAACCGAAGAAGUGCAUCGGAAACUGGGAAACUUGAGUGCAGAAGAGGACAGUGGAACUCCAUGUGUAGCGGUGAAAUGCGUAGAUAUAUGGAAGAACACCAGUGGCGAAGGCGGCUGUCUGGUCUGUAACUGACGCUGAGGCUCGAAAGUAUGGGUAGCAAACAGGAUUAGAUACCCUGGUAGUCCAUACCGUAAACGAUGAAUGCUAAGUGUUGGAGGGUUUCCGCCCUUCAGUGCUGCAGCUAACGCAUUAAGCAUUCCGCCUGGGGAGUACGGCCGCAAGGCUGAAACUCAAAGGAAUUGACGGGGGCCCGCACAAGCGGUGGAGCAUGUGGUUUAAUUCGAAGCUACGCGAAGAACCUUACCAGGUCUUGACAUACUAUGCAAAUCUAAGAGAUUAGACGUUCCCUUCGGGGACAUGGAUACAGGUGGUGCAUGGUUGUCGUCAGCUCGUGUCGUGAGAUGUUGGGGUUAAGUCCCGCAACGAGCGCAACCCUUAUUAUCAGUUGCCAGCAUUAAGUUGGGCACUCUGGUGAGACUGCCGGUGACAAACCGGAAGAAGGUGGGGGA
rnacentral:rRNA from 2 species